CCUACGGGGGGUUGCAGUGAGGAAUAUUGGUCAAUGGGCGGGAGCCUGAACCAGCCAAGUCGCGUGAAGGAAGAAGGUACUUAGUAUUUUAAACUUCUUUUGUCGGGGAACAAAGGCGGAGACGCGUCUCCGGAUGAGUGUACCCGAAGAAAAAGCACCGGCUAACUCCGUGCCAGCAGCCGCGGUAAUACGGAGGAUGCGGGCGUUAUCCGGAUUUAUUGGGUGAAAAGGGUGCGCAGGCGGGAUAUCAAGUCAGCGGGAAAAUGUCGGGGCUCACCCCCGGCCGGCCGUUGAAACUGGUUGUCUAGAGUGGGAGAGAAGUAUGCGGAAUUCGUGGUGUAGCGGUGAAAUGCAUAGAUAUCACGAAGAACUCCGAUUGCGAAGGCAGCAUACCGGCUCCAUACUGACGCUGAGGCACGAAAGCGUGGGGAUCGAACAGGAUUAGAUACCCCUGUAGUC
rnacentral:rRNA from 1 species